CCUACGGGGGGCAGCAGUGGGGAAUAUUGCGCAAUGGGCGAAAGCCUGACGCAGCGACGCCGCGUGAGGGAUGAAGGUCUUCGGAUCGUAAACCUCUGUCAGCAGGGAAGAACGGUCACUGUGCUAAUCAGCAGUGAAUUGACGGUACCUGCAAAGGAAGCACCGGCUCACUCCGUGCCAGCAGCCGCGGUAAUACGGAGGGUGCGAGCGUUAAUCGGAACUACUGGGCGUAAAGCGCUCGUAGGCGGUAUGUCAAGUCAAGGGGGAAAUCCCCGCGCUCAACGUGGGAACUGCCUUUGAAUGUGGAAAACUUGAGGGUGUGAGAGGGUAGUGGAAU
rnacentral:rRNA from 1 species